rnacentral:rRNA from 1 species
UAUACUACUACACGGAUAACUGUAGUAAUUCUAGAGCUAACACGUGCCUCGAUGCCCCGAUCCGCAAGGUGAGGGGUGCAAUUGUUAGAUCGCAAACCAAACGGCUUCGGUCGUAGGUUGUGGUGACUCUGGAUAAUUUUGUAUGAUCGCAGCUGGCCUUGUUGUCGGCGACGGAUCCAUCAAGUAUCUGCCCUAUCAACUUUCGAUGGUAGGUGACAUGCCUACCAUGGUUAUGACGGGUAACGGGGAAUCAGGGUUCGAUUCCGGAGAGGGAGCCUGAGAAACGGCUACCACAUCCAAGGAAGGCAGCAGGCGCGCAAAUUACCCACUCUCUGAACGAGGAGGUAGUGAAGACAAAUAUCGAUACAGAACUCAUUAGAGGCUCUGUAAUCGAAAUGAGUGCAUUUUAAAUCCUACAACAAGGAUCUAUUGGAGGGCAAGUCUGGUGCCAGCAGCCGCGGUAACUCCAGCUCCAAUGGCAUAUAUUAAAGUUGUUGCAGUUAAAAAGCUCGUAGUUGGAUCUGGGCUGUGUCGCGAAUGCUGGUUGUGCUGAGCAUGCAUUCGUGUGUGCUUGCCGACUGGUAUAUUCGGACCGGCCUCAUAGCUGUGUCCUUUUGCCUUCACGGGUGAUUGGAUGAUGGUGAAUGUCUGUGGCGGCUCCUUUCGGGGGGCUGUCGCGGUUUGUCAUUAUGUUCUGUUGAUGCCCUUAACCGGGUGUCCGGAGCUCACAGCACGUUUACUUUGAACAAAUUUGAGUGCUCAAAGCAGGCCAUUGUUGCCUGAAAAUUCUUGCAUGGAAUAAUGAAAUAGGACUUCGGUCCUAUUUUGUUGGUUUGAUAGAACCGAAGUAAUGAUAAAGAGAGACAGACGGGGGCAUUUGUAUGGCGGCGCUAGAGGUGAAAUUCGUGGACCGUCGCCAGACAACCUAAAGCGAAAGCAUCUGCCAAGUAUGUUUUCAUUUACCAGGAGCGAAAGUCAGAGGUUCGAAGACGAUUAGAUACCGUCCUAGUUCUGACCAUAAACGAUGCCAACUGACGAUCCGUGGUUGCUCUUUAAUGAGGCCACGGGCAGUCUCUGGGAAACCUGUAAGUCUAUGGGUUCCGGGGAAAGUAUGGUUGCAAAACUGAAACUUAAAGGAAUUGACGGAAGGGCACCACCAGGAGUGGAGCUUGCGGCUUAAUUUGACUCAACACGGGAAAACUCACCCGAACCGGACACUUAGAGGAUUGACGGAUUGAUUGCUCUUUCUUGAUUGAGUGGCUAGUGGUGCAUGGCCGUUCUUAGUUCGUGGUACGAGCUGUCUGGUUAAUUCCGAUAACGAACGAGACUUUAACCUGCUAAAUAGUACGGUUGCAAUAUUUAUGCGGACCACCGUCUUGAUGCUCCGGUAUUGAGGCGGUACCGCAUAGGCAGGUGAAACUUCUUAGAGGAACUGGGGCUCGAAAAGGCCCACGAGAAAGAGCAAUAACAGGUCUGUGAUGCCCUAAGAUGUCCGGGGCCGCACGCGUGCUACAAUGACGAUGUCCCUGAGCAUGAUUAACUUGUCUGUAAAGGCCGGUGAAACUGUUCAAUUAUCGUCGUGCCUGGGAUUGGGGUUUGUAAUUAUUCCCCAUGAACCAGGAAUUCCUAGUAAGCACAAGUCACUAGCUUGUGCUGAUUACGUCCCUGCCCUUUGUACACACCGCCCGUCGCUACUACCGAUUGAAUGGUUUAGCAAGGCCAUUGGAUUGAAUGCUUGCGGUUCACGCUGCU